UUCUAUUCCGUCCCGUCCGUGCACACAAAGGCCUGUUUGAACCUUGAACGUGCGUGGGUCAAAUGAUUGUUUAGGAAGUCUGUAUGAUGGCGAAAAAACUGCAGGUGACUAGAAGCUGCCAAUGAGCUGCCAGUCCGGAUGGCAGCUGUCAACACGGCAAGGGCCUGCAGGCGCAUCAGCUCUCCCCCCGUUCCUCUACUGCCAUUGGAGACAGGAUGCCUUGUAAAAAGAUUGUUUCUUUUCUUCAGUGGGAGCUCAUGAAGGUGGCACUGUGCACAGAGGGACAGAGUGGCUGACAGUGAGCUGCCCAAGACAACCUGCUGGCUCUCGUGACCAUCUCCGAAAGCCUCUGGAUGGGCUAAUUGACAGGCGUGCCUGGACAUUUAAAAACGGCUGCUCUUAUAUGCACCAUGAAGAUAUCGAAAAGGUCUCCAAUUGAACGACAACUAUAAGCACAAGCAUGGAGGGGCAUCUAGAUGGCGAGCGCAAGGACAACUGUAAUGUAAAAUUUCUCCCAACUUAAAGCAAGGCAUGCCUUUUUCCAAUAAAGGCAUUGUGGCAAAACUUCUUAAUUGGUUUGUUUGUUCAGCUGUCAUCUCUACGAACAGCUGAUCUCACACAAACAAAAUCCCGGCAAUGAGUAGUAGAGGUUGUGUGCUCUUUUUCUUGUUGAACUCUUUUUGUUUUGUUUAAGGAUAAAAAAUUAUACAAGUUAGUAUAUUGAAUGACGGAGCCCAUGAACUCUCCAUACCAAUCCAUACCUCAAAAGUUUCAUGUGACUUCGGCUUGCUUGAACAUGGAAGCUGUUUGCACUAAAUAACGGAGCACUAGACCUUUCUGUCUUCUUGAAGCCUAUAGCUACGAGCCAUCCGCACCAAUCCUGCAGCUCCGAUACGUCAGGUGACACCCCUGGCAAAGGUAUAGCCCUUCCAGGGGAGUCGCCUGAUGUGUCGGAGGUGCGGGUGGUACGGAUGGCUCGUAACUUUGGCCUUAUCUAUGGCCGAAAGGUAUAGUGCUUCAUUAUUUAGUGCCGACAGCUUUCAUAAUUCCUACGGAUAGCCCUCCGUGGUGAGCUACAGACAUUCCGUCAUUUCACGAAAUUAUGUGCCUUGUUUUUACAGACUGUCCAGUUUCUAGAUUACGGGAAAUCUUGCCGGCAAUAUAAAACCAGCAACUUUUACCAAGAAAAUGGGAAAACGGAUAACUGUCUAUUAAGUGGAAUAUAGACGUUCCGUCAUUUUACAAAAUUAUAUGCCUUGUUUUUAACAGACUGUUCGGUUUCUAUAUUACGGGAAACCAUGCUGGCACUAUAAAACCCGUAACUUUUACCCAUAAAAUUGAGUGAAAUUUUUUUGCAGUGCUCCCAUACCCCUUGUCCAAGUCGAAGAUGGUCAGACAUCUCCAAUUCCCACUAAAAUGAAGCAUCCGUUUCCAUUGAAAAUAAAGAGUUUCACAUUUGAUGUCGUAGUACGUCAUUCGCAUUCUUACGUAUUUCAAGAAGACAUUUAAAUCCCAAAAUGGUUCAACGAUAACGGCCACACAACAUUUUGAAAGACGGCUGUAAAACGGUUUCGAAAGACGGCCGAAAAACGGUUGACGACAUCGGUCACAAAACGGU
rnacentral:lncRNA from 1 species